rnacentral:rRNA from 1 species
CGUAGGAGACAAACGUUAUCAGGAGUUACUGGGCGUAAAGGGCGUGCAGGCGGUGGCUUAAGUUCGGCGUGAAAGCCUCCGGCUAAACCGGGGGAGGUCGUCGGAAACUGGGUCACUAGAGGGUGAUAGAGGCGGGUGGAAUUCCGGGUGUAGUGGUGAAAUGCGUAGAGAUCCGGAGGAACACCAGUGGCGAAGGCGACCCGCUGGGUCACACCUGACGCUGAGACGCGACAGCAUGGGGAGCGAACGGGAUUAGAAACCCCGGUAGUCCAUGCCGUAAACGAUGCCAACUCGAUGUCGGGUAGGGGAAACUCUAUGGGUAUCCAAGCAAACGCGGUAAGUUGGCCGCCUGGGGAGUACGGUCGCAAGGCUA